rnacentral:lncRNA from 1 species
GAUGAUCCAAUUGAGAGAGAUUUGUGGUGGCAAUGUGAUGUUGAGGUAGCGCCAUAUGUUGUAUGUGGUCGUGCAGCGGAAAAAUAUGUGAGAAAUAUCUUCAGGCUCUUGUUUGCAAACUGGACAGGUGGUAUCAUUGGUAAGAUUUCAAUUAAAAGGAAAUGUAAGGGUUGGUAAUUUAUGUUGUAGCAUGAGCCAAAGAAAGUGCUUAGUUUUGUUGGUAGAAUGUAUUUUCCAUAUCCAAGUUAU